AGGGAGGAGAGAAAGGUUCACCAUGCUUCGGAGGGAGAAAGAGCCAGCAGCCAUGUGAGAUCUCUGGCGGAGUGGUCAUUGGGCCUGAGGUAGCAGGACAUAGAGAAACCAUUCUCAAACUGACCAGGAAACGUCCUCCAUCCUGGCUGGAUUUCAUCAUGCUGGAAGGUGCUCAGCAGGCUGGUGAGGGUGGAAAGACAUCAGGGGUCUUAUCCAGUAACAGACCCUGUAAGCUACAAAGUGAACAGCAGUAAAUGUGGUGAUGUGUAAUUGGUCAAAUACUGAGAAGAAGGGGCCCAGUGCUCAAGUACUCAGCACCAAGUGGGAGCCUUCACCAAGGCUCAGGGAACGUCACAGCAGAGGAGACAGGAAGACAGCAAGAGCUGGAAAGGAGGGAGAGCGGAGAGAAUGCCUGUCUGUCUUCUGAAAGUGACGCGGGCAACAUUUAAUGGAUUAUCAAAAACU